GUGUUCUAUUUGGCAGUAUAAAUACUAAAAUUGGAAUGAUACAGAGAAGACUAGUAUGCCCCCUGUAUAAGAAUGUCAUGCAAAUGUAUUAAGUGUUCCAUAUUUUG
rnacentral:snRNA from 1 species